GUUUGAUCUUUACAUGGACAAAGACUUGCAUUAGUUCCUACAAAAUUUUUGAAGACAUACAAAAGUUUAAAGUUUCAUGACAAGUUUAAGUUCUCUGAUUCUAGGAACUUGGAGUCAUUUUAAUUGGUAUUAGAUGGGAAAACCAGACACUAUAGCCAUUAUAUAGAUUUUCAACAAUGCCAGACUCAGAGUAUAUACAGUCAGGACAAAAAGAAUUUACAAGACUAUCCACAACCCUCUCAUCUUGAUGAAUUGUUAAACCACAGAAACUUAAAGAAGACCUACAGAUAACCUAGGAUGUACAAUAUAAAGAACACCUACAGAAACCUAGGCUGCAUAGUAUAUACCACAAUGUAAA